rnacentral:lncRNA from 1 species
AAGAGACAAGAUGAAAAAAAAAAAGAAAAAAAAAUACAGAAAAAUGAGAAAAAUAAAAAAAAAUGUUGUGAAUAAUGGAGUCAAGAAGAGGAUUGAAUUAGAGGUUUUGGGUGUGAUUUGAUUGUAUUUUCACUUGUUCCCCAUUGCUCCUCUAUUCCUUUUGGUUUGUAGCUUCUCAUCCAUAUUUAUCCUCCUUUGUCCUUGGC